AAUUCCAGAAUGUAGAGGAACAAAGUUAUUAACGUCUGUCCGUCUCUAAGUUGUCCCAAAGCCACUUCCGAGGCUUUGGGACUCUGAGAAUACCGUUGUCCACAAAGGGUGAAAACAUGGAGGAGUAGAAAACCAUCUAAGAAGUGGCCAGUCUACCAAAAUUACUCCAAGAACACGGCAAUUAGUUUUACACAGUAUUUGACAUUACAGACAAUUUGAAAGAGAUUGAAAACUGACUUGAUUAUACACUCAAUAACAGGUGCAAGAAUGGUCAGGAAUUUGUUUUAAACUAUUCAGUUUGAAUGAAAAUAACAAACGAAUACAUUUUCCUCUACUCAUAAUGUCUAGUGCUUGUAGAACUGAGGGGGCAUUAACAAAUGAAAGUGUGAAUAGGGCCAUUUUUUAAAAGUUUGCAGAGCAACGUAGUAAUUAACAGCAUUUUGGCUGUCGUACCUGCAUCAGGUCGGAUAACUGAACAUAAAUCUGAGGGAAAAUAACUUCAAGCUUUUUCUAAAGAAUAACCACUCUGAUGAUCAGAGAGUGGUAAUUUUAUUUAAGCCGCUUCGUUUGACAAACUUUGCUGUAAAGAAUAUUCUGUACAUCUACUUCGGUUGAAGUGGUUCCAGGCACUUGAUGUUGACCUGCUGUAUCAAUUGCAAAUCUGGUUUCUUUUGUGUGUUUGGGAUCAUUUCAGUGUUGGAGCACAAAGUUUUAAUCAUCUAGCUGUUGAGUUGGAGACCGAUUGUAAAAUGUAGAGAUAAUCCAAACUGAACUAAUGGCAACAAAGCAAAUCCACCGUAAUAAUUAAAAGAUUGAAAGUUGUCCCCGUGUUUGUAAGCAUCACCUUGACUUCUGGAAACAUUUUUCUUCUCAUUGUUGCCAUGCAGCACAAACCGUUGGCUCCUCUAACCGAGAAACGUUUUUUGCACAAGAGAUGCAAUCUGUCCCUUUUUAGGGCGCUACAAUUUUCAGGCUGAAAAAAGUCGAUUGUGGCAUAUGGACAACUUUCACGGUCAGCACCUUCUCAUCCAAAGGUGAUGUUAAACUAAUUUUUUCUGUGGACAGUGACCUUUGCGUUCCACCACCUCCCUGUCUGCAGGUUUAAAAGUUUGGGUUGGGUGGUUGAAACUUUGACAAUGUUGGGUGUCCCAGCAGGACACCCAACCGUUAACACGGUUCUUUAGCACAGGCCAGCUAGUUCAUUGCCUGAAAAGUGGUUAAAUAUGCAUCUAAAACUAUGGCUGGGUGAAGGAUAUCAGUUUCUCUUGCCAGCAGGUUGAUAUUACUAAAUUUUUCAUGUGUUUUUCUUUUUUUUGUAUAAAGCAUGCUAACUACUCCACUACCACUUAUCCCAGUUUGUGAAACGUUCUACUCAUGAAACACUAGAUUUAUUUACCUGCCCAAACUAAUCAAGUCAUUUUAGAAUUUUAUUGUUACCAGAAAUCGUUUUUUCGGUGCUACGGCUUUGAUGAGAGCACAUUUUGUACCAAUCUUUGCUAACCAGCCAUGCUCGCGGCGUCCUUCAUGAUGAAAUCCAUAAACAAGGUUUUAAAAUUCACUUAGCUCAAACUGGGACAAAUCACCUGCCUGCAAUUUCUGCCCCUGCAGCCAGUGUCCACUUCACUCGCCGAUACAUAAUAAUCCAGCCUGCUGCAGGAAAUUGAACAACCUGCUCAGGACCCAUCUGAGCGCAGAAUGGCGGGAGGGGAAACGGUGCUCUGGAGAUUUCUCUUCGUUUGGCAGGAACACUCAUGACAAAUUUCCUUCCUUUAUUCUUUAAAAACGAUUCCUCUCAGGACUAAUGGAAACCUUUGUCCAUUUAAUACAGCUCAUUUUCUCUCGUGGAGACGUAAGGCCCGGUUACAUAACUUGUAGAAGGGCAGACUGAAGAAGAUAUUAGCCAAGAUGUGCCUUUGAAAAUGUUCCACUGGUGUUCCCAACUCAAAGGCCUGAUUGGGGAUGAGGGGAAAGAAGCAGCUAGACUCCGUGCCUUCAACGAAAGGUCGGACGAGCAAGGCCAUUCUGGCGAUGCCGGCUUUGUAGGUUUGUCAGGGAGGCGGCAGGAGGUAAUCAGAGGAAAGCUCGUUCAUUCGCUCUCAAGAGGAGUUCUGCCAGAGAGCAGAGAAAGGAGAGAACAGCGCAGGGAGAACGACAGGUUGUUCACACAUACCAGCCCCUAACAGGAGCCAUGAGGGCUGGAGCCUGAUCAUCUGCAGAGGCUUGUGAUGUUUUACACCUUCCUUUUCCCCUCUUUAUUCAUCCGCCUAAUCCUUUCCAGUCUUCACACUUGCAUCUCUCUUCCCUCCCCAUCUUGGAGCCAAGUCUUGGAUCAAUGCACCAUUGAUUUUUCUAUCAAUGAACAUUAGUAUGGAUCAGGCUGCUGCUUGGACUAUCCUGCCCUGAAAUACUAUACACACACACGCCCACACGCCCGCACACCCCUUCAGAUUUAAACACACACGCAACAUCUGCACUGUGAUUUAGUUGCUAUAAAAGAGAAACGGUCGACAGAAAUGACAGAGGGUGGGAAUUGAUAAAGAAAAGGUUCUAGCUGAAAACACAGCAGCCAAUCAAUGAGAGGCAUGAAAGAAAAGGUAGGAAAUGAAAUCAGACAGAGCGGAGUUAGUGUUCGGAGUAAAGGAAGCAGUCAUUGGUCAACUAGCUGCAAGUCGAUUCGCGGCGGAAUAAUUUAGCCUGACUGGCAGCCGGUUGAAACUGCUGAUAAUAGCUGCUAAUCAUGACAGUGAAUGUGAGAGAUAGAUGCACCUCUGGGUAUCUUCCUUUCUUUCUUUCUUUCUUUCAUUCUCCCAACUCAGACACACACACGCACACACCCUCCUGUUUCAGUCUAUAACAGGGCCCCGGUCAGGUGGAGGCUGGUGGUUUUUCUUUCUGUCACCCUCCUUUGGUGUCCAACACUGGAUUUAGAACCAUACAAGUCAAACGGAUAUGUUCCAUCUCCCAUCCCCCCCCCAAAAAAGUCAUCAUCUUUAACUCCCAGUGCAUGAGCAAAAAAAAGGAAAAAAAGAUAGCUGCGCUGUAAGAAUAUUUUCUGUUUUUGAAGGUCAAAUGACAACAUUUCCAAAAGUUAUUUCCCAGUGAAAAAAAAAGCAAAGUCCAUCGCCACAGCAAAAUGUAUGUGUGAUCACAUCAUGUCACUCCAGUGCAUUCUGGGAAUGAUCUGAGACACUGUAAUUGAAAUUACAGCAACAUGCUGAAAUGUGGUUGGCAUAACGGCAGGGUUUCAUCUGGAAAUGCAAU